rnacentral:rRNA from 1 species
AUUGAACGCUGGCGGCAGGCCUAACACAUGCAAGUCGAGCGGAGCGGCGGACGGGUGAGUAAUGCCUAGGAAUCUGCAUGGUAGUGGGGGAUAACGAUCGGAACCGGGCCCUAUUACUGCUAACUAUCAGAUGAGCCUGGGUCGGAUUAGCUAGUUGGUGGGUUAAAGGCCAACCAAGGCGACGAUCCGUAACUGGUCUGAGAGGAUGAUCAGUCACACUGGAACUGAGACACGGUCCAGACUCCUACGGGAGGCAGCAGUGGGGAAUAUUGGACAAUGGGCGAAAGCCUGAUCCAGCCAUGCCGCGUGUGUGAAGAAGGUCUUCGGAUUGUAAAGCACUUUAAGUUGGGAGGCGUUACCCACAGAAUAAGCACCGGCUAACUUCGUGCCAGCCGCCGCGGUAAUUC